rnacentral:lncRNA from 1 species
CAAAGUCCCCUCAACAUAAUCCUCCCAACCAACUCAAACAUAAUCCUCUGCUGACCACAGAACGAGAGGUCCCACCACCAAGUGAUAUCACGCAACCACAGCAGAUUACUAUGGAACCAUCAGAACCAGCCAACUCCCAGCAUCACACCUCAAGCCAGGACCUUGAUGUACCUGAGAGUGCUGUCUUGGUGGUCUGUCUGCCGGAAGAGUCACGGGAGACUGGUCCUGACUGCUUACCGAUUACCACACAAGCCCCAAUACCAAGACUGUUGGGGAACCUAAUUGAAAGGGGGGUAGCCAAGAAACUGUACCUGACCACCACUUUGGAGAAUGAGGUAAGGCUAGAGGCCCUGGUGGACACGGGAGCAGACCUGACUCUGAUGUCAGCCCAGCUUUUCGACAGACUUCAGAUUGCUGCCAAGAGACAGAAUCGAACUCUCGAAUAUAAGAACUGUGUGCUGAACGUACAAUCAUACAGCCAAAAUGAUGUACAACUAGAACAACUAGCUCCCAUUCACCUAACCAUCGGCCCUAUGACUUUAGUACACCCUGUGUACAUCUCUCCAUUUGACACAUACCCUCUCCUUAUUGGAAAAGACCUGCUAGACCGCUUUGAGCCCCUAUUGGACUUCAAACAGCUAAAAAUUUGGGCUCAAGUGCGAGAACCUCUGCCUCCUCAGUCACCAAGAUCACGCCAGACAGACUGCCAGGUCACAAAGGCCACAGAAGGUCUCGCCAACAACUGCGGGAACACACCGACCCAAGAGCAAGGUUCAAGGUCAUCACUAUGCACUUUCCAGCUGGCUACAGCAGGUGCACUACACGGCGAGUUAUGGCAUCCACCUUCCCACCCACCCACCCUUAAUGUGGCUGCCAUAACCCGCAGCAAACAGACUCUGCCCACUUCAAUGACCGCCUCACAGCCGCUUACGCUGGCUCCUCAAAUCACCACCAUGGACAUUGCUGACAUGCAGGCCUCUGACCCAGCUAUACACACUAUCCCUCACCACCUCUCUGACCCCUCCAACCGCCCUAUCACAGCUGCACAAAUGGCCAAUACGCCAACCCUCAAAGCACUACUCAACGUGAAACCUAUGCGGUGUGUGACGCACAAUAUUCUUGGGUACUGCCCUGAUGACGUCACUGCGCCAAGGCUUGUGGUGCCACAGUGCCUAAGGGGGGUCAUGCUAAUAUAUGCUCACGACACACCAAGCGCGAGACACCACGGCACAAGUACCACGUAUGAGACACUAGAACAAGCGGCAUACCGGCCCAGCAUGCAGCAAGAUUUGGCAGAGUAUGUGAAAGAAUUCUUUCCUUGUUACCAAUUCCAACCAACAAAAACAAACCACAGAGCCUCACUGCAGCGCAGAGGAGUCACAUCUCCUUGGUCAGACCUCCAAAGUGACUGGGUUGGACCCCUGCCUAGGUCAACUAGAGGCUACAAGUAUUUCCUCACAGUCGUAUUCCAGUUCACAAAGUUCGGGCUGCCACUGAGAGUCAACUCAGACAAGGGCACCAACUUCACAGCUGAGAUUAUACAGCAAACCUGGAAACUUCUGGGAAUACAAGUACACCUGCUAUACCAGCCAGGAGACACCAACUACACCACUCACCAGUACCUUGAGGAACCGCACCGGCAUUUGAGAACCGCAUUUGCUUUUGCCCAACAACGACUCCAAAAGAGUGCAGACGGCCAGAAAGCAUAUUACAACUGGAAGGCAUCACACCAAGAACUGGACGUGGGCGACAAGAUCAAGCAAAGCCGUGGACAGAAAGAACCAGCGUUCAAAUGGUUCCAUCGUAACCAGAUCAAGAGACAUGUGGCUUCUGGCAGGGAAAGACAAAGGGGGGUGCUGCUGUGGCUGUCCUUGCUAUGCCUCCAGCUAACCAGAGGACAACCACAACCUGAGAUCACAUCCCCAGGUCCAGCAUCCGGCAUUGCACUGAGGGACCAACAUGGACUUCUCAUCACCAACGACCGUAACCCACAAGUAUACCUGGCGUUGUACCACCUUCCGAGCGAUGAGUACCAGUCCGCGGUGGAACUUCCAUCUUUUUUUUUUCAAGGAUCACAGUCUCACCCUGGAGCCCGAAUUGGAACAGAGCAUUGAGGAAGGGGGGGUCUCAGAUAAUUGAUAUCACCCCAAUCGACACAGCCCUCCAAGCAUUGUCUAGGCAACCUGUCCAGACCAACUUUCCUGUUGCCCGAUCCUGGACUGCGGCCGACACAGCUCUUUGCCUCGCCACAGCGAUCAGUUGCACCCUAACUCUCGGCCUUGCCUCCGUCCUGUUUAACAGAGUAAAUUUGGUGCAAAGGUCCAUGAACCGGUGCACGGCUGCAUUUCCCCGGACCUUUCAAGAAAAACCGCCGUAGGAGAGUACCCCAGGCAGAGGCAGUGCUGAACUUGACCAAGGGAACACCCGGGUGGAAGACCCAAAGGCUUGCUGGUCCACCUGCCAUCUGACUUACAGGAUCCAUCUGUCAUCCCACCUUCAUGAUCCAAUGUGUCUGAUAAGGUUUCUAGUUGAACACUUUUCAGCCACAAGGGGGGAUUUGUAGCGUCUGCGUAGGAUCACAGAUGGUUGAUCUUCAAAGAACCUUUUAACCUGUGACAUUUACAUACCAAUUACAACCCUGGACCCUCACUCUGAUCGUCCCGUCUUCCCCCACUGUCACAAAUGUAGCGUCUGCGUAGGAUCAUAGAUGGUUGAUCUUCAAAGAACCUUUUAACCUUUGACAUUUACAUACAAAUUACAACCUGGACCCUCAGCCUGAUUGUCCCGUCUGCCC